rnacentral:rRNA from 1 species
UUAAAUGGCCGCAGUAUUUUAACUGUGCAAAGGUAGCAUAAUAAUUAGUCUUUUAAUUGAAGGCUUGUAUGAAUGGUUGGACGAAAUAUUAACUGUUUCAUAUUAAUUUUAAUUAGAAUUUUAUUUUUUAGUUAAAAAGCUAAAAUAAAUUUAAAAGACGAGAAGACCCUAUAAAUCUUUAUAUUUAUUAAAUUAUAUUUAUUAGAAAUUUUAUAAUUUAUUAUAAUAUUUUAUUGGGGUGAUAUUAAAAUUUAAUAAACUUUUAAUUUAUAAAUUCAUUAAUUAAUGUUUAAUUGAUCCAUUAUUAAUGAUUAUAAAAUUAAGUUACUUUAGGGAUAACAGCGUAAUUUUUUUGGAAAGUUCUUAUUGAUAAAAAAGAUUGCGACCUCGAUGUUGGAUUAAGAUAUAAUUUUAGGUGUAGAUGCUUAAAUUUUAAGUCUGUUCGACUUU